AUUGAACGCUGGCGGCAUGCCUUACACAUGCAAGUCGAACGGCAGCACGGGGCAACCUGGUGGCGAGUGGCGAACGGGUGAGUAAUGCAUCGGAACGUACCUUUCAGUGGGGGAUAACGUAGCGAAAGUUACGCUAAUACCGCAUAUUCUGUGAGCAGGAAAGCAGGGGAUCGCAAGACCUUGCGCUGAUUGAGCGGCCGAUGUCAGAUUAGCUAGUUGGUGAGGUAAAGGCUAACCAAGGCGACGAUCUGUAGCGGGUCUGAGAGGAUGAUCCGCCACACUGGAACUGAGACACGGUCCAGACUCCUACGGGAGGCAGCAGUGGGGAAUUUUGGACAAUGGGGGCAACCCUGAUCCAGCCAUGCCGCGUGAGUGAAGAAGGCCCUCGGGUUGUAAAGCUCUUUCGGCCGGGAAGAAAUCGCACGGGCUAAUACCCUGUGUGGAUGACGGUACCGGAAUAAGAAGCACCGGCUAACUACGUGCCAGCCGCCGCCGUAAUAC
rnacentral:rRNA from 1 species